rnacentral:rRNA from 1 species
AGUGAACGCUGGCGGUAGGCCUAACACAUGCAAGUCGAACGGCAGCACAGUAAGAGCUUGCUCUUACGGGUGGCGAGUGGCGGACGGGUGAGGAAUACAUCGGAAUCUACUUUUUCGUGGGGGAUAACGUAGGGAAACUUACGCUAAUACCGCAUACGACCUACGGGUGAAAGCAGGGGAUCUUCGGACCUUGCGCGAUUGAAUGAGCCGAUGUCGGAAUAGCUAGUUGGCGGGGUAAAGGCCCACCAAGGCGACGAUCCGUAGCUGGUCUGAGAGGAUGAUCAGCCACACUGGAACUGAGACACGGUCCAGACUCCUACGGGAGGCAGCAGUGGGGAAUAUUGGACAAUGGGCGCAAGCCUGAUCCAGCCAUACCGCGUGGGUGAAGAAGGCCUUCGGGUUGUAAAGCCCUUUUGCUGGGAAAGAAAAGCAGCAGGUUAAUACCCCGCUGUUCUGACGGUACCCAAAGAAUAAGCACCGGCUAACUUCGUG